GACGAACGCUGGCGGCGUGCUUAACACAUGCAAGUCGAACGGUGAAGCGCCUUCCUUUUUGGGGGGUGUGGAUGAGUGGCGAACGGGUGCGUAACACGUGAGUAACCUGCCCCCUUCUUCUGGAUAACCGCAUGAAAGUGUGGCUAAUACGGGAUAUUCUGCUUCUGUCGCAUGAUGGGUCUGGGUAGGAUAUUGUUUCGGGGGGGGAUGGGCGGGCGGCCUAUCAGCUUGUUGGUGGGGUGAUGGCCUACCAAGGCGGUGACGGGUGGCCGGCCUGGGAGGGUUGCCGGCCUCACUGGGAUCGAGGCCUGGCCGAGACUCAUACGGGAGCCAGCAGUCGGGAGUAGGGCACAAUGGGCGCAAGGCUGAUGUAGCGGAGCGGCGUGAGGGGUGGAGGCGCUCGGGUUAUGAACCUCUUUCGCUAGUGAAGCGGGCCUGCCUCGUAUGUGGGUGGGUUGACGGUAGCUGGAUAAGAAGCGCCGGCUAGCUACGUG
rnacentral:rRNA from 1 species